rnacentral:snRNA from 1 species
AUCUUAGCCAAAAGGCCGAGAAAGG